UGACAAGCUGAUCAUAGCGAAAAAAUUAAAUACUUCUGCAUUUCCCGCUGUGUAAACACAUUGCAAGUAGUCUCCUGGUAAAGUUGGGGAGGUGAUAUUCAGAGUUAAAAUAGCCAAAUMGAUUAGURACAGGAUUCAGGACUAAUAAAGUCAAUGCAACGGCCUGUUUUACCAACCGUGGGCCUACCUAAUUGGAUGGGCAUUCAUAAAGUUCUAUUGCGGGCCGACAUGGUAGGUCUAGUAAGCACCAGCUGACGUGUUAUUUUGGUCCUGUCAGGAUGUCGUUUUACAAACGGUAGGUUUACCACAUAGAUGGGCAUUCAUCAAAUUAGAUUUCAGGCAACAGUGUACACCUCAGUAAGCACGGAUCAACGCCUUUUCUGGGUGCAGUUCCAGACCGGCCUUGAUUUCCACAUCCACGGACAUUGAUUUUUGGUCCGGUCCGGACCACAUCUGAACCAAUCAUAGACGUUUAUGUUUGGUUCAAGUCUUGACCAGCCUUGAUUUGGUCCCAACAUAGCCACUCAGCACGUGACUUCCACGGACGGCGAAUUUUCGGCGAUAUCAGGUCUGUUGGUCAUGGACUUUAUUUUGCCCAAAAUUGUCUUCCCAAAAACUGGACUAUAUUUAUUCCGUUCGUUUUGGUCAGCCUGAUCAGCUUGUACUCAUUGAAAUGAAUGAGAUACACGAAUACAAUGUUGCAUAUAGUAUUCUUUAAAAAAAGUAUAUAUAUACAUAUAAUAAAAUAUUGAAAUUAAAAUUGUUUUUUUUCUCCGAAUAGCUUGUUAAAUGUUCUGAUAGACAGAUUGACUGAAAAUGACAUGUAAUUUAAAAUCAUUAGUGUACAAUUUCACAACAGAAUUGAUUAGAAUGUUUAACCGUCAUGCCUCACAACUGGGAGGCAGAACGAGCAAGUCAUUCAGCCGCAAUUUGUUCCUCAAGACGGUAACUCGACAAGGAUAAUUGUAAGCGCCAAAAUGCCACCCGCUGUCCAGAUGAGAUCCUGAAAAUGGCAGAAAUAUGCGUACGGGAAGAAGAAGGAAAAGAGGAAGAUUAUGUAAAAUACAACAGAGAAGCGUGUCUGUAGUCAGUCCAAAGGGUUGUGAAGUAUCUUUUAUUGUCUACUGAAGUAUCACCAGCUUUAUUCAUUUUAAUGUGAUGAUAUGCUCCUCCACUGCCUAGGAGGGCCUGAAGAAGAGCACACAGUCCACAAAAUGACAUGAGGGUCAACAAAUAGAUACGUACACUUUCUCUGUGCAGAUUCUCCUCCUCCUGGAACCCAAUGAUCCAACCUUGCCAAAACAGAAAGGAUCAUCCAAUCCCUUGCCACACUCUCACAGUUGGCCUUUUUCUAGUGAGGGAACAAAGGAAGAGGAGAGCGAGGACGGUGUCCGAGGACUUCUGUCUGACAGCUUACCUGAUGCCAUGGAGAAUUUAAACUUUACAGAGGUUAGAAUAGUCAACCAAGGCCUGUGUACUACUGACCCUCCCAUGACAGUUCCCAAUCACUUUGAACCUGAAAUCUAUAGUCAUGAAGGUAAGUGC